UUAUUUAUACAGCCAAUGAGUGAAGACAUAGAUACAGUUUCUUUGAAUUGGAUUCUAACAUAUUUGAUAAUUAGUGAUAAUCAUUUAUAUAUGCAUUGUUAAAAGUUUCAGGAAUAUAAUAGAUACUAGAAAAACAAAAUGGAAAGCGAAGGAAACGAGAAGCAAAUGUUCAAGUCGACUAUGAAGAAAAUUUUCAUAAAAUUUUUUGGAGAGUUUCAAAUUGGAUCUGAGUUCUUAAACAAGUGCUCAAAUACUUCAGGAUGGAUUUUGCUAAAAAUUAUAGACGCCAUUUUUCGAGGCAUUGGUCAGGUAUGUUUUGCUAAUAACCCAAUCUCUGGAGCAUUCUGUCUUGUUGGACUAUAUCUUGGAAGCCCAGUGGUUGCUCUAGCAGCUGUUGUUGCAUCCAUCUCAGCAAUUAUUUCCUCAUUGAUUUUUGAUCAACCCUUCUGUAAUGUUACAAACGGAUUAAAUCAAUUUAAUGCCGUUCUCAUCGGAACAGUUCUUUCUUCCCUUUAUCCAACCUUAUACUCAGGAUCACAAACUGAUAUUGAAUUAUGGAUUUUAAUAAUAUUUGGAUCUAUUCUAAGCAUUCCAAUUCAAAACGGAAUAGGAAAUUUAUUACACUCCUUGACCACAAAAAGUUCCACAUUCACAUCGGAUGGCUCUUUCACGGAAAGAAAAUUAGGAAUGGUCUCUUUCACCUUUCCUUUCAAUGUUGUGGGGCAAAUAUCAUUUGUUCUUUUGGCUCUGAGAGCAAAGUCCUUGUCCAUUAACGAGCCCAUGAAUGAUGUAUAUACAAAUGAAACAAAUCCUCAUAGCUCCGUCGACUGGUUAAAGGUUGCUGAAGGAUCCUUAUUAUCAAUUGGCCAGGUCUAUGCUAUUAAUACAUUGAUUGGAUCUCUAGUGAUGAUUAUUGGAUUUUUUAUUUGUUCCCCAAUACUUGCAGCUUCCAUGUCACUUGGGGGAGCUCUAGGAACUUGUACAGCUUAAAUGAUGUACGAGAUAUAAGCCACACCCUCAUAGCAAUCAAGGAUGUUAUUUUUGACCCUUACACGUUAAUUCUAUUGAGAAACGAUCAAAAAUCCCUGGAGGCGAUAUAUACCGGAAUCUAUGGCUAUAACUCUGUAUUAACAGCUGGAGCUCUUGGAGGUUUUUUCGUGGUUCUAACAUGGCAUUCCUUCAUACGU
rnacentral:misc_RNA from 1 species